rnacentral:rRNA from 1 species
CGUAGCUAAUACCGCGAUACGCCCUACGGGGGAAAGCAGGGGAUCGUAAGACCUUGCACUAUUAGAGCGGCCGAUAUCGGAUUAGCUAUUGGUGGGGUAACGGCUCACCAAGGCGACGAUCCGUAGCUGGUUUGAGAGGACGACCAGCCACACUGGGACUGAGACACGGCCCAGACUCCUACGGGAGGCAGCAGUGGGGAAUUUUGGACAAUGGGGGAAACCCUGAUCCAGCCAUCCGCGCGUGUGCGAUGAAGGCCUUCGGGUUGUAAAGCACUUUUGGCAGGAAAGAAACGUCGUGGGUUAAUACCCCCGAAACUGACGGUACCUGCAGAAUAAGCACCGGCUAACUACGUGCCAGCAGCCGCGGUAAUACGUAGGGUGCAAGCGUUAAUCGGAAUUACUGGGCGUAAAGCGUGCGCAGGCGGUUCGGAAAGAAAGAUGUGAAAUCCCAGAGCUUAACUUUGGAACUGCAUUUUUAACUACCGAGCUAGAGUGUGUCAGAGGGAGGUGGAAUUCCGCGUGUAGCAGUGAAAGGCGUAGAUAUGCGGAGGAACACCGAUGGCGAAGGCAGCCUCCUGGGAUAACACUGACGCUCAUGCACGAAAGCGUUGGGGAGCAAACAGGAUUAGAUACCCUGGGUAGUCCACGCCCUAAACGAUGUCAACUAGCUGUUGGGGCCUUCGGGCCUUGGUAGCGCAGCUAACGCGUGAAGUUGACCGCCUGGGGAGUACGGUCGCAAGAUUAAAACUCAAAGGAAUGACGGGGACCCGCACAAGCGGUGGAUGAUGUGGAUUAAUUCGAUGCAACGCGAAAAACCUUACCUACCCUUGAUAUGUCUGGAAUGCCGAAGAGAUUUGGCAGUGCUCGCAAGAGAACCGGAACACAGGUGCUGCAUGGCUGUCGUCAGCUCGUGUCGUGAGAUGUUGGGUUAAGUCCCGCAACGAGCGCAACCCUUGAGAGUAGUUGCUACGAAAGGGCACUCUAAUGAGACUGCCGGUGACAAACCGGAGGAAGGUGGGGAUGACGUCAAGUCCUCAUGGCCCUUAUGGGUAGGGCUUCACACGUCAUACAAUGGUCGGGACAGAGGGUCGCCAACCCGCGAGGGGGAGCCAAUCCCAGAAACCCGAUUCGUAGUCCGGAUCGCAGUCUGCAACUCGACUGCGUGAAGUCGGAAUCGCUAGUAAUCGCGGAUCAGCAUGUCCGGUGAAUACGUUCCCGGGUCUUGUACACACCGCCCGUC